AAAGUCGUAACAAGGUAACCGUAGGUGAACCUGCGGUUGGAUCAUUAAAAAGAUCUAACCCGAACUCGGACGAGAUCGUUGAUGUAUUUCGAUGACCUCGUUUGAUGCCGGGUUUUCUCACCUAAAAAGUGAGUCAACAUUAUGUGAACUGUUCUGUCUCUGGCGGUGGGGUGGUGUCAAAACCAUCUGUCAGCAUCCGAGUUCGCUCGGUGUGCCGUGGACAAGCCGUCAAUGGUGUAUGUUUCAUACAAACUUUUGUUUUCAUCAAUCUGUCUGACAUACCUUUGUAUCCAAAAUAUACAAAAACAACUUUUGGCAACGGAUCUCUUGGCUCCC
rnacentral:misc_RNA from 1 species